CUAUCCUGAAUGUGUUGUUGCUUCCCAGAAAUGUUGUGAUCAGGGAGGUGCAGGAUGUGAGGAAGACAAGGAAUGGAUACAAAGAGACCUUGAUUGAAACAACUCCUCACUGCAAUCUAACCCCGAACAAAACAUACAUCCUCUCCACAAAUAUUACACAUGGAUAUAGGAUCAACCCAACAACAGCAGAAUUUGUGGUUUUCCAGUCCGAUGAAAACUACU